rnacentral:misc_RNA from 1 species
AUGUUCUCCCUCUUUGGAAAAGAAAGAAAGUUAUCCAGGUCAAAUCCAGUCGGAUCAUAAGAGCUUUUGCUUAGCUCUAGCUUCUUGGUCAUGAUAGUGUUGUCUGUCUCCAGCUCAGUUGGCCAUCUUAUUUUCAGAUCAAGGAAAUCAGAUAAAAGAACUUCAUCAUGAGGUGAACUCGGCCCCUUGUUCACCUGAUUCUUUUCAGUAGCUGCUCCAACCUUCUCCGAUCCAUCAAGGCGAAGAGCUUGGAGAAACCAUUGAUAGCCCACAGUGGACUUAAAUGAAAUGGGUUCA